UUCUAUACAGCCCCUUUACCACCAUUCAACAAAUACUUUCUUGUAAUGCCCGGGAAGGUGUAAUAUGUUUGCAAAUGCAGCCACACACACCACACAGGAACAGCAUGCAAAACCUGCAAAGCUCUCCAAACACUUACACACAUGGACAGGAGAGAAAAAAGAACAAAGCUGCUAUGGGUGAAGAGAAAAACUGUGAAAGGUGUCCGUGUUCACAAGAUUUGGAAUGCCUGAGAACUAAUGGAAUGAGGAAACAGACAACAGAUGAAGAGUUAACUGAGUUUGAAUUGGCUGUACAAAUAGGAGGGGCU